CGAUGGAGUAGGAGACUUGGCCAUUCAGCCCUAGGUCCAGGUCAGAGGCGCUGACUUGUGGGAUGGAGGCUCCGGGAAGGUUGUUUUCGGCCACGUGGACCACGUAGGAGACCUGGUGGAAAACCGGAGCAUUGUCGUUGACUUCACCAAUGCGUAGGGUGAGGCUUGUGCUGGAUGAAAGUGGAGGCUUGCCCUUGUCAGUGGCAGUGAUGGUGACGUUGUACUCCGGGAUCCGCUCCCAAUCCAGGGUCCCAUCUGUUACAAGCUUAUAGUCAUUACUGGCGGAAGAUUCGAUUCUAAAAGGAACUCUUUCGUUUAUGAGGCAUGUAACGUCCCCAUUUUCUCUCGAAUCUUUAUCAUGUGUUUUGAACAGAGUGAUCACCGUCCAGGGUUCUGCGUCUCAGUUACAGAACUGGACACCGAAGUAAAAACCACGUCUGGGGCAUUGUCGUUCUCA
rnacentral:antisense_RNA from 1 species